rnacentral:rRNA from 1 species
AGAGUUUGAUCCUGGCUCAGAUUGAACGCUGGCGGCAGGCCUAACACAUGCAAGUCGUACGCGAAAGCUCCUUCGGGGGUGAGUAGAGUGGCGAACGGGUGAGUAACGCGUAGGAAUCUACCCAAGAGUGGGGGACAACCCGGAGAAAUCCGGGCUAAUACCGCAUACGCCCUACGGGGUAAAGUGGGGGACCUUUCGGGGCCUCAUGCUUUUGGAUGAGCCUGCGUCGGAUUAGUUUGUUGGUGAGGUAACGGCUCACCAAGGCGACGAUCCGUAGCUGGUCUGAGAGGAUGACCAGCCACACUGGGACUGAGACACGGCCCAGACUCCUACGGGAGGCAGCAGUGGGGAAUAUUGGACAAUGGGGGCAACCCUGAUCCAGCCAUGCCGCGUGUGUGAAGAAGGCCCUAGGGUUGUAAAGCACUUUCAGUGGGGAAGAAAAACCUGAAGCUAAUAUCUUCGGGCUUUGACGGUACCUACAGAAGAAGCACCGGCUAAUUCCGUGCCAGCAGCCGCGGUAAUACGGAAGGUGCAAGCGUUAAUCGGAAUUACUGGGCGUAAAGCGCGCGUAGGCGGCUAGAUAAGUCGGGUGUGAAAGCCCCGGGCUCAACCUGGGAACUGCAUUCGAUACUGUCUGGCUAGAGUGUGAUAGAGGGAGGCGGAAUUCCGCAUGUAGCGGUGAAAUGCGUAGAGAUGCGGAGGAACACCAAUGGCGAAGGCAGCCUCCUGGAUUAACACUGACGCUGAGGUGCGAAAGCGUGGGGAGCAAACGGGAUUAGAUACCCCGGUAGUCCUAGCCGUAAACGAUGGGCACUAGGUGUGGGGGGAAUUGACCCCUUCCGUGCCGCAGCUAACGCAUUAAGUGCCCCGCCUGGGGAGUACGGUCGCAAGACUAAAACUCAAAGGAAUUGACGGGGGCCCGCACAAGCGGUGGAGCAUGUGGUUUAAUUCGACGCAACGCGAAGAACCUUACCUGGGUUUGACAUCCUGCGACGACAACAGAGAUGUUGUUUUCCUUCGGGACGCAGUGACAGGUGCUGCAUGGCUGUCGUCAGCUCGUGUCGUGAGAUGUUGGGUUAAGUCCCGCAACGAGCGCAACCCAUGCCCUUAGUUGCCAGCGAGUAAUGUCGGGAACUCUAGGGGGACUGCCGGUGACAAACCGGAGGAAGGUGUGGAUGACGUCAAGUCCUCAUGGCCUUUAUAUCCAGGGCUACACACGUGCUACAAUGGCCGAUACAAAGGGUCGCAAUCCCGCGAGGGGGAGCCAAUCCCAAAAAGUCGGUCUCAGUUCGGAUUGCAGGCUGCAAUUCGCCUGCAUGAAGGUGGAAUCGCUAGUAAUCCCGGAUCAGCAUGCCGGGGUGAAUACGUUCCCGGGCCUUGUACACACCGCCCGUCACACCACGAAAGCCAGUUGUACCAGAAGUCGCUGGGCCAACCCGCAAGGGAGGUAGGUGCCGAAGGUAUGGCCGGUGAUUGGGGUGAAGUCGUAACAAGGUAACC